rnacentral:lncRNA from 12 species
GUCUUUGACCAGUCCAACUCUUGGCAGGUGCAGAACACUAAAGGACCAUUUUAUUUCUAAAUUAGUCUGAAAGGCGCACCACAAAGACUGGAAAUGCUGCUGCCCUUUCAUUUUAAAUGAAGCAAUUAAGGAACCCUGGUGGAUCCCAUCAAGAAAUCACAUGAAUGGCUGAAUAUGGUGGACUUGUGACAGAUCAGGGCAUUCAGGCUGGUGACAUUCCUCCUGGCGAGCAGAUCCAUCCUGGGCCGGGGGUGAAAAAUGCAGCACCGCCCUGCUGCUCAGUUGCAGAUGAAUGGAGCUAUCUGUCUUGUCACGAGGGGUCGGCGGGAGAGGUUACAGCCCAACUGUACCUGGUCUCCGGUGCUGACGCCUGCACGCCAUUUCCCUUUACAAGGGAAGAAACAGACAAAAAGAAGAGAGGGGGAGAGAGAAACAAAUCCAGCCCCAUCAAGCACUUCUUCAGUCCCUCCAGAGCCCAUCUCACUUCCCAUCAUCCCACAGUCCUGCUGCCCUGAGCGCAGGCUUUGACACAUCUAUAUGUUUUUCCUUCUGACCUUUCAACGUCCUUUCUGUCAGCGCCUGUAAACCAUAAGCUGAUGUAUGAGGGCAAUUUUUAGCGGUGCCACUUGUAUCUGAGUGAUUGCGCACAUUUUACAUUUGGGGGGCCUGCCACCCUGCCACCUCCUCAACAUCUCUUUAUUUGCUUUGCUUGAGGUUGAGGCAGAGAAACUGAAGGGAAGGAAUAAAAAGAAUGGAUAGGGAGGGGACGGUGGAACCCAUUCUCAACAACCUCUGGGCAAUAGGCCUGCUCUUUAUCAGUCCGGUGCACUGAGCCCUAAGGCCAGGCCUGACCAGUCACACCUUGGAAACACGUACUUGAACAAACACCAACAUCAGUGUGACAGACUUCUGUACAAAGUGUGUGAAUGGAGGAACCUGAGAACUGCUCAACUUUCAUUGGAAUGCUGAUCUCGCACAUAAAUGUCUAAUACUAAUAACUGUAAUUCAGGUGUUUUCACUGGGGUCUUCACAUUCUUUACUAUGGGGUUAGCAGUCCAAUAAAAAAAUUAAAAUUAAAAAACAAUUUUUUUUUUAGCAAUGUCAAAAUUAACAUGUUUAGAUAUUAUUUUAUUAAAAGUUAGCAAUAAAAAAGAUUUUAAAAACAU